UACGUAGGGGGCAAGCGUUGUCCGGAUUUAUUGGGCGUAAAGAGCGUGUAGGCGGUCUGGUAGGUCCGUUGUGAAAACUCGAGGCUCAACCUCGAGACGCCGAUGGAAACCCUCAGACUAGAGUCCGGAAGAGGAGAGUGGAAUUCCUGGUGUAGCGGUGAAAUGCGCAGAUAUCAGGAAGAACACCCGUGGCUAAGGCGGCUCUCUAGUACGGUACUGACGCUGAGACGCGAAAGUGUGGGGAGCGAACAGG
rnacentral:rRNA from 1 species